rnacentral:rRNA from 1 species
AAAGAUUAAGCCAUGCAUGUCUAAGUAUAAGCAAUCUAUGCAGUGAAACUGCGAAUGGCUCAUUAAAUCAGUUAUCGUUUAUUUGAUAGUACCUUACUACUUGGAUAACCGUGGUAAUUCUAGAGCUAAUACAUGCUAAAAACCCCGACCUCUGGAAGGGGUGUAUUUAUUAGAUAAAAAACCAAUGCCUUCGGGCUCCUUGGUGAUUCAUGAUAACUUUACGAAUCGCAUGGCCUUGCGCCGGCGAUGGUUCAUUCAAAUUUCUGCCCUAUCAACUUUCGAUGGUUGGAUAGUGGCCUACCAUGGUUU